CAAAAUUUCUUUAGAAGAAGAAAUAUUAUUGAUUCAUUGAAUUCACAGUCACAUAUAUGGUUGAGAUUCAACGAAGAUCGAAGCACUUUUUUUACUCAUAAUAGCAAGGAAGAAUGUGUUUGCAGUGUAAGAAAUUUGCAGCUCCCAUUGAAAGACCCAAAAAUCGCAGUAAGCCUUUGUAACGAGACAACAAAUAUGGUGGAUAUGGUGCAGUGCCAUCAAAUUCUAAGUCACACAUUUGAAAAGCGCCCAUCGCCAAAUUUGUACCAUCAACCAUAUCUGUGCUGCUCCACAAUGUACUUAUAAGUAUCAGAGGCAUAUGGAAUGGAAUGGUUUAUGAAGAUAGUAAGGAGUCCUGUGAAGUUUGAUUUCAAGUCUUCACGAGGAUCUGAAG